rnacentral:tRNA from 2 species
GCCAAGGGAGCGUGGGCGGUGCACGCACCCGAUUUGUAAUCGGGAGUUCGAGGGUUCAAAUCCCUCCCUUGGCU